rnacentral:rRNA from 1 species
GACGAACGCUGGCGGCGUGCCUAAUACAUGCAAGUGAACGCACAGUUUAUACCGUAGCUUGCUACACCAUAGACUGUGAGUUGCGAACGGGUGAGUAACGCGUAGGUAACCUGCCUGGUAGCGGGGGAUAACUAUUGGAAACGAUAGCUAAUACCGCAUAAUAUUGAUUAUUGCAUGAUAAUUAAUUGAAAGGUGCAAUUGCACCACUACCAGAUGGACCUGCGUUGUAUUAGCUAGUAGGUGAGGUAACGGCUCACCUAGGCGACGAUACAUAGCCGACCUGAGAGGGUGAUCGGCCACACUGGGACUGAGACACGGCCCAGACUCCUACGGGAGGCAGCAGUAGGGAAUCUUCGGCAAUGGACGAAAGUCUGACCGAGCAACGCCGCGUGAGUGAAGAAGGUUUUCGGAUCGUAAAGCUCUGUUGUAAGAGAAGAACGGGUGUGAGAGUGGAAAGUUCACACUGUGACGGUAUCUUACCAGAAAGGGACGGCUAACUACGUG